CAAUGAAGUGCCUGAUUAAAGGGCUAUUUUGAUAGAAUAGAAUAUGUAUUUUUUAAUACCUUCAUU
rnacentral:tRNA from 1 species